rnacentral:lncRNA from 1 species
GCCUGAAAUCUAAGUCUGAAGAAUCUGGUCUCGCUUGCUCAACCUGUUACUGAAGGAAGGGUUAAAGAAAAACGAUAUAGCAAGACACUGAGGACUCCGAAAGACAGAUUCAGGAAGACAAGAGGGACAGAAAGAGACCUUAAAGAUGUCCGUGUGAGGGAAAUGGACACAGUUAAAUCCAGUAAUCCAUCAAAAGGACCAGAACUGAACAAUGUCAUGGCCCCAGAGGAAACUGCCGCCGGUGACAAGAGUGACAGACAGCGGGAGGAAGAGAAAGAGGCAGACACAGACACUCCUGAUGGAUUUGUUGCAGUACCAUCAGGCGCUCAGCUGAGGGCACAAGAGAAGCACAGAGACAACACUGUAGGCUACCAGAAAAAGAAGCAGAGGGCAGCUGUGGACUUUUCUACAGUGAGCAAGGGAACAUCUGCCAGGGUGAAGAGCAGAGGUGCAUUAAAGCAGGCACUUUUUAGCCAGGGAGUGUCUGACAAAAAUGGC